AGCAAUACUGCACUGGUAAGGUAUGGAUCCGAACCCUCUUGAAGGUCAACAAAGGCUCUCCAUACCCUACUUCGACUCAAUACGUCCCCGGCGUAUAGAAGGGUAACAUGUCUCUC
rnacentral:ribozyme from 1 species